ACUUGAGAUUCGGGGUGCCUUAUGGCUGAGAGUAUACCCGUGGAACCUGAUCAAUCCAGUUGCGGAGGGAAAUCUAGAAAAAGUGAU
rnacentral:ncRNA from 1 species